rnacentral:rRNA from 1 species
CCCUUAGAGUUUGAUCCUGGCUCAGAACGAACGCUGGCGGCAUGCCUAACACAUGCAAGUCGAACGAGACCUUCGGGUCUAGUGGCGCACGGGUGCGUAACGCGUGGGAAUCUGCCUUUAGGUUCGGAAUAACUCGGGGAAACCCGUGCUAAUACCGGAUAAUGUCUUCGGACCAAAGAUUUAUCGCCUAGAGAUGAGCCCGCGUCGGAUUAGCUAGUUGGUGAGGUAAAAGCUCACCAAGGCGACGAUCCGUAGCUGGUCUGAGAGGAUGAUCAGCCACACUGGGACUGAGACACGGCCCAGACUCCUACGGGAGGCAGCAGUGGGGAAUAUUGGACAAUGGGCGAAAGCCUGAUCCAGCAAUGCCGCGUGAGUGAUGAAGGCCUUAGGGUUGUAAAGCUCUUUUACCCGGGAUGAUAAUGACAGUACCGGGAGAAUAAGCCCCGGCUAACUCCGUGCCAGCAGCCGCGGUAAUACGGAGGGGGCUAGCGUUGUUCGGAAUUACUGGGCGUAAAGCGCGCGUAGGCGGCUUUGUAAGUUAGAGGUGAAAGCCCGGGGCUCAACUCCGGAAUUGCCUUUAAGACUGCAUCGCUAGAACGUCGGAGAGGUAAGUGGAAUUCCGAGUGUAGAGGUGAAAUUCGUAGAUAUUCGGAAGAACACCAGUGGCGAAGGCGACUUACUGGACGACUGUUGACGCUGAGGUGCGAAAGCGUGGGGAGCAAACAGAUUAGAUACCCUGGUAGUCCACGCCGUAAACGAUGAUGACUAGCUGUCGGGGCGCUUAGCGUUCCGUGGCGCAGCUAACGCGUAAGUCAUCCGCCUGGGGAGUACGCCGCAAGUUAAACUCAAAGAAUUGACGGGGCUGCACAGCGGUGGAGCA